AGUAACAUGUGGGUAUCUGCCCUAUGGCCUGGAAUAACACGAGGAAACUUGUGCUAAUACCGGAUAAGUCUUAACGGAGAAAGCUUUAUGCACCAUUGGAUGAGCCCGCACUUGAUUAGUUUGUUGGUAGGGUAAUGGCCUACCAAGACUGUGAUCAAUAGCUGAUUUGAGAGGAUGAUCAGCCACAUUGGGACUGAGACACGGCCCAAACUCCUACGGGAGGCAGCAGUGGGGAAUCUUGCACAAUGGAGGAAACUCUGAUGCAGCGAUGCCGCGUGAGUGAAGAAGGCCCUUGGGUUGUAAAGCUCUUUCGUCGGGGAAGAAAAUGACUGUACCCGAA
rnacentral:rRNA from 1 species